UCCCUGGUAGUCAAGUGGUUAAGACUCCAUGCUUCCAAUGCAGAGGGCGUGGGUUCAAUACCUGGUCAGGGAA
rnacentral:tRNA from 1 species